rfam:Hyphomicrobium sp. SCN 65-11 ABS54_C0179, whole genome shotgun sequence.
CAUCCUCGAUCUGCUGCGGGCAGAUGAAGUGAAUGUGCGUGUCGAAGCCGCCGGCCGUCAGGAUCUUGCCCUCGCCCGCAAUGAUCUCGGUGCCCGGGCCGAUGAUGAUGUCGACGCCCGGCUGGAUGUCGGGAUUGCCAGCCUUGCCGAUCUUGAGGAUGCGGCCGCCUUUGAUCGCGACAUCCGCUUUGACGAUCCCCCAGUGGUCGAGGAUCAACGCGUUCGUGAUGACGGUGUCGGCGGCGCCGGCGGCGUUCGUUACCUGGGAUUGGCCCAUGCCGUCGCGGAUG